AAUAGAACUGAGAGGGUGGUUAAGAAACAAGAAGAAGCUUCCAAAUGAGGGAAAACAAUGCAUGCAGGCAUUUUAUAAUCGUCUUAGAACCUCUGAUACCACCUACUUUCAAUCUUGCAGUCAUAUUCCAAAGGUCAAAGGAUCUGAUCCACUCCUUUAUAUUACCAUGUGACCUGUUGCGAACUCGGCUUCAGUGACAUGUCCAGAGGGAAAAGGGAAAAUCAGAAAGAGUGUGAAAUCAAACCCAUGUUUAUGUUCAGAGUGAGUUCCCAGACCCCAUUAUUCUUCUGCUUUCAAGACAUGCAGGGCAGGUAAGUGAUUUUGCAGAGAUCCUUUCUGCUUUCUACCAUCUCCUCUACCAAAGCAUUUGUUCUCUAAGCCUCCACUGCUUAUUCUCUCUGACGUCUUUUUCAGAACGCUUUUCUGGGUAAACACAGGCGUUCUCAUGUUCCAUAGCAGCUGGAUGGGGGAGGAAUAGUGUGUGACACCGCUUAAUUCAGUGCUUCCAUGUUGUCCUUGUAGCAGCACUAUUUGAUUAACACGGAUAUGUAUGUGUACGUGUGUGUGUGUGUGUACAGUCGUCAACUGCAAUGUCACAGCCAAGGACUGAAGCCCACAAUAGUUUUAAUUGUCCUAUUACUAUUAAAUAUUGUAUUUUUAGGGACUCUCAAGAAUUUAAUAGCACAGGUACUUCUCUGACUCAGAAUCUACUCCGGGUGCAUGACAUAUGCAAAAAAAACCUUUUUGAGAAAUUAUUUGAUGCCAGCUUUGCUUUCACAAUAACUUUGACACAAAACAAUUGAGGUUACUCAUUACCACCUCUUUUCUUUCAAGUAUAAAAGAAUUACAGAUAAUUGCCAUUUGCAGAAUCCCCAAAUCCACCCAACUGAACAAAUUGAUUUGGGAAAUCAUGGUCAUGUUCGAUGUCUGGUUACAUUACGAACAUUGUAGUCAGCUGCUGCUGCUGCUUAGCGGUUCUGUUCGAACCACUAAACCCUAAAUGGCUUGAUGUCUGCUUACAUUAAGUAAUCAUUGUGAGUGAAACACACAAAAGUAUGUUUACUACCAAUGUCUUUCAGGCUCCAGGGGACUGUGAGCCAUUCAUUUUUUUGCUAAAUUUCACAAACAGAAGGAAAGAGCUUCAGUGCAAUGGGGUUAAUUAUUUUUCUUUUUAAAACAUAGUUAUGCAAGUAAACUUAAACAAAAAUCUAUUCUAUUAAUAUAGUUAAUUGUACGAUGUUUAUCGUUUUCACGGUCACAUGGACAUGAGAGCCAAUCCCAGCAGACUGACCAGAGAAGCG